AUUGAACGCUGGCGGCAGGCCUAACACAUGCAAGUCGAACGAGUGGCGGACGGGUGAGUAAUGUCUGGGAAACUGCCUGAUGGCGGGGGAUAACUACUGGAAACGGUAGCUAAUACAGCAUACCAUCAGAUGUGCCCAGAGGGGAUUAGCUUGUUGGUGUGGUAACGGCUCACCAAGGCGACGAGCCCUAGCUGGUCUGAGAGGAGGACCAGCCACACUGGAUCUGAGACACGAUCCAGACGCCUACGGUAGGGAGGAGUGUGGAAUAUUGCACAAUGGGGGCAAUCCUGAUGCAGCCAUGCCGCGUGUAUGAAGAAGGCCUUCGGGUUGUAAAGUACUUUCAGCGGGGAGGCGUUACCCGCAGAAGAAGCACCGGCUAACUCCGUGCCAGCCGCCGCGGUAAUUC
rnacentral:rRNA from 1 species